rnacentral:rRNA from 1 species
CGGACGGGUGAGUAACGCGUGGGGAACCUGCCCUGUACAGGGGGAUAACACUUAGAAAUAGGUGCUAAUACCGCAUAAGCGCACAGUAUCGCAUGAUACAGUGUGAAAAACUCCGGUGGUACAGGAUGGACCCGCGUCUGAUUAGCUGGUUGGCGGGGUAACGGCCCACCAAGGCGACGAUCAGUAGCCGGCCUGAGAGGGUGGACGGCCACAUUGGGACUGAGACACGGCCCAAACUCCUACGGAAGGCAGCAG